AGAAUAAUGAAAAUUUGCUUAAUUAUUAGUGUAUACAAUACUCAUGUAACAAAAUACACUGCAUCCACGUGUAUAAUAAUCAGGGGUGAAUCUUUUUUUACUGUGUGGUGCUCAGGCACCUGUUAAAUCUGAUGCAGACUAGGUAUGGUUUUGUGUGUAUAUAUAUAUGGUUCAAGAUUUAGAAAAACAUGUUUGAAACCAAGAAGAUAGUUGGGUGCUUUGAUUUUCAGGCGAAACCGUAAAACUUUGGGCGUCAAUAUGUAUGUUCAAACCUCCCAAACACCCUGGACUUCUAAAUUUCAGCUCUACUACUAAGGAAAAAAUAUGUUGGAGGUUGCUGAGGAAUAGGUAGUCACAGAAUAGCUAUUAAGCAUUAGCACAACAGAUGCAAUUGUGGGCCUUUGUUCAACAUCUUCUUGUACACAUAGCAAACCAAGGUAGAUACAUUGGAUCAUCUGUUGAAGACAUAAUUAUUUGUAAGUAAAUAAUAAGAACAUGCUUGUACCCUCUAACAGUUUAACCUUCUAAAUGAAAUCGAGGGUCAUUAAAGACGGAAAAAUUAACCCAUGAGAUAUUAUUCGCUCAAUCGGCAUAGUAAUUAUUAAUUCGUGAAUUUUUCAACGAUUUUCCUUUUUUUGGGUUAGUUAUUUAGUAAAUGCCCUGUUUGCCUUUAUCGUGCAACUUAUGAACCUUUUGAAUCAUGAUCUUAAGUCUAACGGCUAUAUUUAUGCAACUUUUUUUUAAAAAGGGACAAACUCUAAAUGACGACUUAAUAAGAGUCGUGUAAAUCAACUUAUUAAUCUAGCAAAUUGUCCAUAUAAAUGAAGCCCAUCUAAAAAGUUAUGCUGAUUUGGGCUAAAUAUGAUGCCCAAAUUGACACAUGAGAAACCUUAUAGAUA